rnacentral:misc_RNA from 1 species
AAAAAUGCUGAUUCAGACUAUAUAAUACAUGUACGUAUAUAUACAGACAAUGUUUUUUAUAUUAAAUGUAUUUGAGUUUUAAAAAAUUUAUGUUGAUAUCAUUUGAAUUGGUGCUUAUAGUUUUAUUUUUUAAAAAGUCCUAAUCCUACCAAAAUGAUUGUUGUGUAUUUUAUUGUUUGGGCCAUAUUAAAAAUAUGUGUACCCUUUCUAGACCAACUGAAGAAAAAGUAUCAGACUUAAUAUAUUUUAAGAUAUAUUUUCCAUUAAAUAUCUGUGCAACUAUGGAAAAAACCCUCGCAAUUUCCAUACUUUCUGGGAAGUUAAGAAAGAGCUAUCAAACAAUUUUUAAAGGUGGUCUUAAGAAUGUCAUCUUGUUCGAGUCCCCAGUGAUAUAGUUAGUUUUGACUUUUAUACCAAUCCUUUAGUACAUAAGCUAGUUUAUACUAAUCUGUUUGUCCUAGCAUUUGGACAUAUGCAGUCCUUGGUCACUCCAGGUAAAUAACACCUGUUUUGAAUAGGCUCAGCCUAUUUUUUCAGUAGCCUUAUACAGUCACAAAAUGUUACUGUUAUUUAAAGUACCGGUAUAUACCGGUACAUGUAUCGUAAUAUAGACACAUAUCAUAAAUUAAGUAUUACACUUGGAAAAUUAUCCCAAAGCUAUUGAUAACACACCAUCUGAUGUGUGACCCACGUUAAAUAAACACUUGACAUCAAUAGUUGGGCCUCGUACUUUGUUCUGUCUAAUGCCCCCCUGACAAAGUAAGAAAAUCGCUCAUCAUUGGUGAAUCACUGCACAAUCAAUGGUGGUGGGUUUUUCCUCGUGCUUGUUGAUAGGACCCUGAAGGCUGUGGUAGGGAACAUCUUGCUAACAGUUGGGCGUUCUAGCCAUCAUCUGUUGUACAUUCUCUCCCACUCAACCAUAUGAAAAUACCACUACAUGUGGAUUUAAACUGUCUUUUUGGGGUUAUGAUUUACCUUUGUGACUAUAAAAAUUGUUCCUUUUUAGGGUGUGCAGGUUGAUGUGAAAUUUUAUAACAAUAUCCCCACACUACCACUAAACACAAGCUAGAUGAGUUGCUUGCAGUCCCCAGUGAGAUUUUCACCCACAAGUAAAUUGCAUAUAUUGCAAGAUUUUUAUUUUUUUUUUACGAUUUUCUUUUUUGCAUCAGAAGAUGAUCAGAUGGGAGUUUCCCAACAAAAUGCCUCGUUGACAUUUAAGCAAUUACCACUAUGUACAAGUUAAACUGGCUUCUUUUUUGAUUUGUCAUUGAACAGUAAUAGCCGACAAGGAAAAGUCAUUGAAAUGCAUUCUCUGUUAUCACUUUAAGUCUCCUCAUCUGCUGGGUUUAAUGGAGGACCAUGCACUUUACUUUUUAAAAGUCUAUUGACUUUCAUUGCGAUCAAUCUCGAUUCCGUUUUUGCCCUUAUCUCUAAAUAAAAAAAAAUCUUACUACUUGUUUGCAUGUCUUGAAUGAUUUUAUUGACAUUCAGAGUUCCUGGCUUUGAUUUCUAUCAAAUGAUUCAGGGUUUCAUUGGUGCUAAUGCCUUAUAAAGGGCAGAUGUACAUAAAAUUACAAUAGAUCAUCUCUUUAAAGCAAAGUUUGAAGUGCAGCCAUUUAGAUAUACCAGCAUGCUCUCGGAACUGUUGAAGAGUCGAUAAGAUUAACUUCAAUAGAAAGACAUAUACACCUAAGGUCUAUAGGUUCAUUGUGCAUGAUCUUUUAUGAACAAUAUUUUUUUUUAUAUCAGAUUUUUUAAAUUAUAUGCAUUGCUUUUUCCUUACUGUAGAAUGUCUCUGCAUAGAAAUAAAUGUUUAUCAAUAUGCUUAAAUUUUGCUAAAAAAAAAAAUCAAAAGGUUUUAAAUUUUUUUUCCAGUCUGUAUUUCUUUAAUGCCUCACACCCUUUAAAUUGUAUGGAUGUUUUAUAAUGUAUGUACACAAUCAACCAUUACUGAACAUGUACGUGGGUUUUUUUUAGGAGUCCAUAGUAUUCCAUGGCAUUUUGAACAUAAAAGGUUUAUUUUUGUUCAUUUUGCACUUGGAAAUUUCUUGUACAUUAAUUCCUAAAGUAUAAUUGUCUCUUUUUUUGAAAAAAAAACCUGUCACCGAGAUUGAUGUCUUUCCGUUUGAAGAAUAAAUGUUUUAACAGAU